AUUUCCUGAUAGCAGAUCUGACAAUCUGACCAUAUGUGACCACAGCACUCUUGAGUUUGGGAUCUGAAAAUUAAGGUUUUCUAUGUCUCCUCAGUGUAGCUGUUUUCUCACUCUAGCUUGUCACCUAAUGGUCUCCCAGCUAUACCUAGUUUCAAAUAUAUAAUCUGAUAUCUGUAUAGAAAAAUAUCUUCUAAUACAAAUGUUUUGCUGGGGUCAGUUAUGCAUGAGAAGCAAGAAGCAAGUCUUUUUCUUGACCUUGGCUGAUGAAUGCCAAAAGUGUGGGUUUUGCUUAAAUGUAUCUUAUCACAGUACUGUGGGUAUUAUAAGCAGGUCGAUAACAAAUCUGUUCUGUCUCCAGUCUGCCCAUGUAAAUUCCCAGGUUAAUUAGUCAGCAGAGACCACAAGGAGGAUACAAUCUACAUGCUUAUAAACAAGCCAGUCUGUGCUGAAUACACAUAAGAACCUUAUGUUAUUUAAUGUAAGAGGAAAAUAUGAAACGGCAUAAGGGAAAAGGGAAGUAAUUAUAUUAACUCUAGGGAAGUUUCUAGGGUAUUUUAUCCAUUGCUUUGAAUUCCAAUUAAAACUAUGUAUCUAGUCAAGAGCUUCUGAGAUCAGGUUCUUUAUUUGAACCUGAAACUUGGAAGAUUUACCUUGUUGAGAUUGAGAAAAUGUUAGAAAGAGUUGUCUUUUGUAGAUCUCACAGGUUUUGUUUGUUUAUUUUCAGAAUGAAAGUUUUGAUGCAAAAUCUGUGCUUGCGCCUCAGGUUUGGUUUUUUUUUUUUUAAUGUCAUGUGUAUGAAAACGUGAUGCUUCAUAUUUCAAAUGAAACAAUUCAAAGAACAGACUCUAUGGUAGAUUCAGUUGGUUCUGUGCCUGAACAGUUUGGACUUGGUCAAUUGAAGAACUUCAAUAUGUUGACAGUCAUAAGUUCACGUGACCAUUCUUAUUCUAAAUACUCUCACUCUUUAUUACUGUUUUCUGAUAGGAACAUCUUUUUUUCCUCCCAACAAAGCAAUGGUAAAUAGAUGUUUCAGAUCAACAGCUAAGCAUCUGAAAAAUAAUUAUAUGUAUGUUAAAUAAUAAACAGGGAAGCAAGAGUUAUAACUUGAUUUAGUGUUGCCAGUGGCAAGAGCAGAAAUGUGCAAUUACUGAUGUCUGCAAAAUCUCUAUGCAUUUCUCUGAGAUAACCAAAAUUUCAGUACUCUUUUGUAGAACAGGGACUAUUCAUGCUUAUUUUAAUAUUAUACUUACGACAAAUUACCAUAACACAUGCUUUUGAGACACUUCAGUGCAAUGUGUGUGCAUCAUUCUUGUUGAAGGACUUACAUUUAUAUUGUUGAGCACAUAUCUGCUUUAAUUUUCACUGGAUUCAACUUGCAAAUGUGUAGAUCUGUGUGGUUUGUAGGUAAUGUAUCACAGACUUAAAAGUGUGUUUUUCUUUUCUGGAUCUAAACCUUCUAUGACAAAUAAAGAAUCUGUGGUAUGAAAUCUGUGAAAUAAUGUUUUUUGAAUCCUAUGAACAAAAUGUUUUUGAGAAAGGACAUCAAGCUUCAGGCUUCAAAGUAUCUGUCAAGAGUGGAAAUCGUAGAAAAUAUUCUUGUCAAAAAAGCAAUGUUUAACUACUUCCAUAUUUUAAUUUAAUAACUGUUAGGUGCUGAAAAUAGAUUUGUGCCUUGGCCAAACCCUUAGUCUGUUUUUUUUUUUUUUUUCAUUUGGAAUUGGAAGGGUUUGGUUCAACAAGAAUCUGCUCUUUUCAACAUAAAUUGUGUUGAGUUGUAGCUUAAAGCUUUAAUCUCAAUCACAAUUUUUGCUCUGUUGGUGUAUAUCUGUGUAUUUUAUGAGACCCUGGAUGUUUUGUUUUGUGGCUGUUACCUGUACCAGUACUAUUCUGUUGCUCUCUGCAGGGUGCGUUACCCACCAGAGGGAGCCAAAGCCAAGAACCGUCGGACUUUGCCUUUCAAUUUUCAGAGCUUCCCUACUGAAAGUCAUCUCCACCGCUUCACAGUGCUUUUGAUUCAGGCCUCUGUCUUCAGGUUUUUGAUCAGACUGGCUCAUGGCAGUAGCUGCAUGAAAUACACAUUUCCUCAUCAGAUACUCCAAAACACAGGAAUUGUUCCAUGCUUAUAUCAAGGAAUUCAGCACACAGAUUAUAUUCUGUGUGCAUACAGAAAAGAAACUGUGAACAUUCAACGCUAGCAUAAGCAAUGUACCCACUAAGCUGAUAUGCCAAGAUUCUGUGGCCAGUGUUCAAGCAAGCAGCUGAGAAUUAAUGAGUACUCCUUUGUGGUCUCCAGCUGCAUUCCAAAUACUAAUACCACUGAGAUAAUAUUUGGGAAUCUGAAGACCAUCACCAUGUGACCAAGUUACAUCCUGUUCCUUUUGGAGACAUCACACAAGACCAAUGGACUCCACCUGUUUUUUCAUCUGUAACCUAUAAAUUUUCUCCAUUGGCCAGACAAUCCUGGGUGAACUGAAGG